ACACGACUACAUUAGAUACCCGGGUAGUCCUAGCCGUAAACGAUACUCGCUAGGUGUCGGCCACGGUGCGACCGUUGUCGGUGCCGUAGGGAAGCCGUGAAGCGAGCCACCUGGGAAGUACGGCCGCAAGGCUGAAACUUAAAGGAAUUGGCGGGGGAGCACCACAACGGGUGGAGCUUGCGGUUUAAUUGAAUUCAACGCCGGAAAUCUUACCGGGACCGACAGCAACAUGAAGGCCAGGCUGAAGACUUUGCCGGAUUAGCUG
rnacentral:rRNA from 1 species